CCUCAAAGAUGUAAUGCUCAGUGAAGAUGUACCUCCACCAUUGGAGUUCAGCAAAAAACGUUCUCGCUCUGUAAAAAUUGUGAAACGGGAUUCUCGAUCCAUUAGAACGAAAUUGACCAUUGGAGGUGCUGCGGAAAAAAUUGUAUCAGCAUUUCACUUGGUGGUCAGUGAACAUCUCACUGAAGAAGCAGAGAUGAGUAAUUGUAAGUCUGCAGUCAACCGUGUGAGGAAGAUGGA
rnacentral:misc_RNA from 1 species